UACGUAGGGUGCGAGCGUUGUCCGGAAUUACUGGGCGUAAAGAGCUCGUAGGUGGUUUGUCGCGUUGUCCGUGAAAUUUCCUGGCUUAACUGGGGGCGUGCGGGCGAUACGGGCAGACUGGAGUACUGCAGGGGAGACUGGAAUUCCUGGUGUAGCGGUGGAAUGCGCAGAUAUCAGGAGGAACACCGGUGGCGAAGGCGGGUCUCUGGGCCGAUACUGACGCUGAGGAGCGAAAGCGUGGGGAGCGAACAGG
rnacentral:rRNA from 1 species